AGAGUUUGAUCCUGGCUCAGAAUCAACGCUGGCGGCGUGCCUCAGACAUGCAUGUCGAACGAUUAAAGCUCUCUUCGGAGAGUGCAUAGAGUGGCGCACGGGUGAGUAACACGUAAGUAAUCUACCUUCGAGUGGGGAAUAACGUCCGGAAACGGACGCUAAUACCGCAUAACGCAGCGGCAUCGCAAGAUGACAGUUGUUAAAGAUUUAUCGCUUGAAGAGGAGCUUGCGGCAGAUUAGCUAGUUGGUAAGGUAAUGGCUUACCAAGGCUACGAUCUGUAACCGGUCUUAGAGGACGGUCGGUCACACUGACACUGAAUAACGGGUCAGACUCCUACGGGAGGCAGCAGUCGGGAAUUUUGGGCAAUGGGCGAAAGCCUGACCCAGCAACGCCGCGUGAAGGAUGAAGUAUUUCGGUAUGUAAACUUCGAAAGAAUGGGAAGAAUAAAUGACGGUACCAUUUAUAAGGUCCGGCUAACUACGUGCCAGCAGCCGCGGUAAUACGUAGGGACCAAGCGUUGUUCGGAUUUACUGGGCGUAAAGGGCGCGUAGGCGGCUUUGUAAGUCACUUGUGAAAUCUCCGGGCUUAACUCGGAACGGCCAAGUGAUACUGCAAAGCUAGAGUGCAGAAGGGGCAAUCGGAAUUCUUGGUGUAGCGGUGAAAUGCGUAGAUAUCAAGAGGAACACCUGAGGUGAAGACGGGUUGCUGGGCUGACACUGACGCUGAGGCGCGAAAGCCAGGGGAGCAAACGGGAUUAGAUACCCCGGUAGUCCUGGCCCUAAACGAUGAAUACUUGGUG
rnacentral:rRNA from 1 species